rnacentral:rRNA from 1 species
AACGAACGCUGGCGGCAGGCCUAACACAUGCAAGUCGAGCGGACCCUUCGGGGUUAGCGGCGGACGGGUGAGUAACGCGUGGGAAUAUGCCCUUCUCUACGGAAUAGUCCUGGGAAACUGGGGGUAAUACCGUAUACGCCCUUUGGGGGAAAGAUUUAUCGGGGAAGGAUUAGCCCGCGUUGGAUUAGGUAGUUGGUGGGGUAAUGGCCUACCAAGCCGACGAUCCAUAGCUGGUUUGAGAGGAUGAUCAGCCACACUGGGACUGAGACACGGCCCAGACUCCUAGGGGGGGCAGAAGGGGGGAAUCUUAGACAAUGGGGGCAACCCUGAUCUCGCCAUGCCGGGGGAGGGAUGAAGGCCUUGGGGUUUAAAAGCUUUUUCGGCUGGGAAGAAAGUGCCGGGACAAGCAAAAGAAGCCCCGGCUAACCCCG